rnacentral:rRNA from 1 species
CCUAGUUGAUCCUGCUAAUAAUCAUAUGCUUGUCUCAAAGAUUAAGUCAUGCAUGUCUAAGUAUAAAUAAAUUUAUACUGUGAAACUAUGAAUGGCUCAUUAAAUCAGUUAUAGUUUAUUUGAUAGUACCUUGCUACAUGAAUAACUGUGGUAAUUCUAGAGCUAAUGCAUGCAAUCAAGCUCUGACUUCUGGAAGGAUUGUAUUUAUUAGAUAAAAAACCAACACAGCUUGCUACUCCCUUGGUAAUUUAUAAUAACUUCUUGAAUUGCAUGGCCUUGCACUAGCAAUGCAUUCAAAUAUCUGCUCUAUCAACUUUCAAUGGUAGGAUAGAGGCCUACCAUGGUUUCAAUGGGUAAUGGGGAAUAAGAGUCCAAUUCUGAAGAGGAAGCCUGAGAAAUGGCUAUUACAUCCAAAGAAGGCAGCAGGCAUAUAAAUUAUCCAAUUCUGACAUGGAGAGGCAGUGACAAUAAAUAAUAAUAUAGGGCUUUUUUGGGUCUUAUAAUUGGAAUAAGUACAAUUUAAAUCCCUUAAUGAGAAACAAUUGGAAGGCAAGUCUGAUACUAGCAGCUAUGGUAAUUCCAGCUCCAAUAGUGUAUAUUAAAGUUGUUGCAGUUAAAAAGCUCAUAGUUGAACUUCAGACCUAGUUGAGUGAUCUGCCUUAUAGUGUAUACUGCUUGACUGGGCCUUACCUCUUGGUGAGCCAGCAUGCCCUUUAUUAGUGUGCAUCAGGAAAUCAGGACUUUUACCUUGAGAAAAUUAGAGUUUUCAAAGCAAGCUUAUGCCCAAAUACAUUAGCAUGGAAUGAUAGAAUAGGAUAUGUGGUUCUAUUUUGUUGGUUUCUAAAGUCACCAUAAUGAUUAAUAGGGAUAGUUUGAGGCAUUGAUAUUGAGUUGCUAGAGGUGAAAUUCUUGGAUUGACUCAAGACCAACUACUGUGAAAGCAUUUGCCAAGGAUGUUUUCAUUAAUCAAGAAUGAAAGUUAGGGGAUUGAAAAUGAUCAGAUACCAUUGUAGUCUUGAGAGUAAACUAUGCCAACUAGGAAUCAGGCAGACUCAAAUAUAAUGUGUCACUUAGCACCUUAUAAGAAAUUAAAAAGGCUGAAACUUAAAGAAAUUAAUAGAAGAACACCACUAGAUGUGACAUCUGCAGUUUAAUUUAACUCAACACAGAAAAACUUACUAGGUCCAAACAUAACUAGAAUUGACAAAUUGAUAGCUCUUUUAUAAUUUUAUAGGUGGUAGUGCAUGGCCAUUCUUAGUUGGUGGAGUGAUUUGUCUAGUUAAUUCUAAUAAUAAACAAGGCCUUAACCUACUAAAUAGCUAAGCCAGCUUUUGCUAGUUGCUAGCUUCUUAGAGAGAUUGUUAGCAUCUAGCUGACAGAAGUUUGAGGCAAUAACAGGUCUGUGAUGCUUUUAGAUGUUCUGGGCCACAUGCAUGCUACACUGAUAGAGCCAGCAAGUUAUUCACCUUGGCUAGAAGGUCUGAGUAAUUUUGUAAAACUCUGUUGUAUUAGAGAUAGAGCAUUACAAUUAUUGCUCUUCAAUGAGGAAUACCUAGUAAGUAUGAGUCAUCAGCUUGCAUUGAUUACAUACCUGCCCUUUGUACACACUGCCUGUCACUACUACCAAUUGAAUGGCUUAGUGAGGUCUCUGGAUUGGCUUUUAGGAGCCAGCAACAGCACUCUAUUGCUGAUAAGCUAAUCAAACUUGGUCAUUUAGAGGAAGUAAAAGUCAUAACAAGGUUUCCAUAGGUAAAUUUAUAGAAG